rnacentral:rRNA from 1 species
CCUACGGGAGGCAGCAGUGGGGAAUAUUGGGCAAUGGAGGCAACUCUUACCCAGCAAUGCCGCGUGAAUGAAGAAGGUCUUCGGAUUGUAAAGUUCUUUAAUUGGGGACGAAAAAAAUGACGGUACCCAAGGAAUAAGCCCCGGCUAACUACGUGCCAGCAGCCGCGGUAAUACGUAGGGGGCAAUGCUUGUUCGGAAUGACUGGGCGUAAAGGGUGUGUAGGCGAUGUAGCAAGUUAGAAGUGAAAUACCUAGGGCUUAACUCAGGUGCUGCUUCUAAAACUGCUAUACUUGAGUGCAGUAGAGGAAAGUGGAAUUCCUGGUGUAGCGGUGAAAUGCGUAGAUAUCAGGAGGAACACCGGUGGCGAAGGCGACCUGCUGGACUGCAACUGACGUUGAGGCCCGAAAGCGUGGGGAGCAAACAGGAUUAGAUACCCCUGUAGUC